rnacentral:rRNA from 1 species
UAAGACAGAGGGGGCAAGCGUUGCUCGGAAUUACUGGGCGUAAAGGGCGCGUAGGCGGAAUGGCAAGUCGGCCGUGAAAUCCUUCGGCUCAACCGAAGAGCGUCGAUCGAAACUGCCGUUCUUGAGGAUUGCAGAGGAGACUGGAAUUCCCGGUGUAGCGGUGAAAUGUGUAGAGAUCGGGAGGAACACCGGUGGCGAAGGCGGGUCUCUGGGCAAUUCCUGACGCUGAGGCGCGAAAGCGUGGGGAGCAAACGG